AUGAGCUUUUAGGGUGAAAUAGUUUUAUAACAAAUUUUAUUUUGUAACAAUAUAUCACAAUGGUACAACAGUCUCUCUUAACAUAUAUAAAAAAAAAGUACAGUAAAUACUUAAAAGUUUGUUUACAAUUUAAAAUACAUAGGGUGACAUUAAAAGAAAGUACAUUAACAUUCUUUUAGUAACAAAUGAUUGAUUUUCACAUGACUGGGACUAGUUCUUCAAGAAUAGUUUGGAAGUUUUGAACAAAUGGUAAUAGACACAAUCUCAAAGACGUCUAAAAAUCCGAAAUAAUAACUCCAGCCAGCAUUGAUUCAAAUUAAGACAGUAAAUUUUUUUAUACGAUUAUUUUACACACAACUAUCACAACCAAUCUGUAUCAUAUACCAAUUUAAAUAUAAAAUGGAAAUGGGGGUCUCAAGCAGGUAAAGGUCUGUUCCAAAUUUGUCUUUUCAAACAUCAUUAUCACCUAAUAAUAUUGCAUAGGAGAUCAAAAUGCAUGUCUGACAAGACACUCAAUGCAUUUUGUACAAGAAAAAGGCACUCACUCAUUAGUUUUUUUGUUUUUCUUCGAUUAUAAACACUGCAUCUUUCACACUUUUGAUUUGGUUUGUGAGAAAAGAAUUUGCUGAUAGCAAGGAAACUAUGGAUUUAGACACAAAUAUAUUUUCAAUAGCAGUAAUCAAUUACUUAAGAAAAUUUCAAUAUUGAAAGCAUAUGUUACACAUAUUAUUGAGCAUUACUGAGAAAUAUUUGAGGUAUAAUUGUAUAGUUAGUUGGCUAACUAUUAGACUAAUGGCUUUUCAAAAAUAUUGAUGUAUGUUUUUUACCUAAGGCAAUUAGACUGCUAUUUAAAAAAUAUGUAUAUUUAAAGGAGUUUACUUAAAAUGUAAUUUUUAAUUAAAUUAAAUCAUAUUUAUAAGUAGGAUGUUAAAUAAAACUUGCAAACGUUUUGAAAUGUUUGCUGUUUUUUAAAACACGUUUAAAACAAUUUUUUUUAUGUCAUAUAUAUAUUACAAAACUUUACUUUGGAUGGUUUAAAAUGGAUAGAGCACAACUUAUGUUAUAACCUAAACUAAGAAAAUGUUUUUAGCAACAACAAAAAAUAUUAAUAUAAUUCUUUGUUCUUUAUAUUUUUAAUUACAUC